GAAGAGAAGCGAGUUUUUUUGUUUCCCCUUAGAAUAUCGAAAAAUCGCUUCUUCUUUUUGUUUUUUUUGGUGAUUGCGUGGGGGAUUACUUGUUUGCGUUUGGUUGGGAUGAAGAGGUUAGGAGAUGACGUUUACACUGGCGCUUCUCAACUUAAGCAGCCGUUUGGUUCUUCGCUUGAGGGCUCCGAUGGGCAAUCCCAAAUCCCAGGUGGAGGAGGAUGCAGUGGUCUUGGCGGUACCUCCCUGAAACUGACAACCACUGAUGCCUUCAACUAUCUCCAGCCUCCAGGAAGUGAAGCACAAGUUUCGAGACCAGAGGGAAAAAUAUGACAUGUUUAUUAGAAUUUUUAAGGCUCAAAUGUAGACGCAUUGCACCUAUGAAGUUUUCUGUCUUUGAUUAAUGGAGCGUUGCAUCUAACAACAGCUAACAGUGUUAGAGAAUAUAGUCCCAUAUCCAAUCACAAUUAUAUUGGAGAAUAUAUUUUCUAACAAACAGAUUAUGCCAUUGUUUUUGGCUCUUGCAGAAUAUGUACUCAUCAUGUCACGGCAGCAGUACUGAAGGAAUUAUUUAAAGUGCAUAACAAAUUGAUUUCUGGGUUUAACACCCUCGUGCUAAAGGGAUAUGAGAUAAUCCUUGACGACGACGAAGCUCCUCCGCCCAAAGAAGACGGCCGAAUAUGAAGAAGCUAUCAGCUUUGGGAACAAGAUAAAGCAACGCUCUCGAAAUUAUAGACCUGUUUAUAAAGCAUUCCUAGACAUUUUGGGUAGCUACAUGAAGGAGCGCAAGGACAUAAAUGAGGUCUUUAGUGAGGUCGCCAUACUUUUUGAUGGCCAUCCAGAUUUGCUUGAUGAGUUUCCCCAUCUCCAAAACCCAUUCCAGCCCUUAAAUGAGCGGAGCCAAAUGCAUAUGGACAAGGAUAGGGUCAUUACUUCCAUAACUGGCCUCCUCCACAUCUUGUGGUUCUUCUCUUGGCCAUGGAUUUUUGUUAAAACAGCAGAACAGAAAGUGGUUUUGGCGUUGAGGAAAUGAGCAAGCAAGGUCGUGGGUUAGUG